UACGUAGGGUGCGAGCGUUGUCCGGAAUUAUUGGGCGUAAAGAGCUUGUAGGCGGUUUGUCGCGUCUGCUGUGAAAAAUCCGGGGCUCAACCCCGGACUUGCAGUGGGUACGGGCAGACUAGAGUGUGGUAGGGGGAGACUGGAAUUCCUGGUGUAGCGGUGAAAUGCGCAGAUAUCAGGAGGAACACCGGUGGCGAAGGCGGGUCUCUGGGCCAUUACUGACGCUGAGGAGCGAAAGCGUGGGGAGCGAACAGG
rnacentral:rRNA from 1 species